UACGAGAGGCCCAAACGUUAUUCGGAUUUACUGGGCUUAAAGAGUUCGUAGGCGGCGCAGAAAGUAGGGUGUGAAAGCCCUCGGCUCAACCGAGGAAUUGCGCCCUAAACUACUGUGCUUGAGGAACCUAGAGGUGAGCGGAACUGAUGGUGGAGCGGUGAAAUGCGUUGAUAUCAUCAUGAACACCGGAGGCGAAGGCGGCUCACUGGGGGUUAUCUGACGCUGAGGAACGAAAGCCAGGGGAGCGAACGGG
rnacentral:rRNA from 1 species